ACUUUCAUCACAAAUGCAGCUGUACGAGAUAUCAUCUUGAGCACAACUUUGACAGCUCUCGAACCUCAUUUAGUCAACUUUGAACCAGAAGACUAUCAGCUGUGGAUCCAGGAUUAUCUUUUUCCAUUGCUACCAAGCCUCCAUCCUGAUAGCUUGCGGGUGAUCCCAAGUAACAUCAGCUGUGCGUCCUAUGAAGCUAUACACACCGGACUUCUGGCAAGUUUGCAGUUCCUGCCACUGGAUCUUUCGGUGGAUGUGAGAUCAAGCGUAGAGUCCCUCAAACAGACAUUCCCACGUUGUUCAGUACCUGAUUCUUUUACGUGCAAGAAGACACCUGUCGAUGAGAGCCACAUCUGUGCUGCAGUCAAUGGAUCACAACUCCAGCAAACACUGGCAACUGACGCGUCGUCCAC